AUAUGCUCAAGGACAGGUGGGCCAAGCUGGCCAGGAAAGCCACCAAGCUCCACAACAGCUGCAGGGAGGUGGCCACUGAGGCAGCCUCUGAGGAGGCCACAGCCACCGCCCGGGCCAAGGAGCUGCAGGACGAGGCUGCCCGUGAUGGGACAGCUCAGGAAAACAUGGUGGAGCUGGAUCAGGCCCGGGGCAGGUAGGAGGGGGCCGAGGUGGUGGCCGGGCAUGAAGGCCAGGUGAGGAGAGAGGCCAUGGUGGCUGCCAGAGAGGCAACAAGGGCCACCAUGUUGAGACAGCGGGUGGAGGCGUCCCUGGGGCUGCUGGAGCACUUGGUGGCCGCGUGUGGCGAAGACACGUCGUUCCCCCGGGAGCUUCAGUGGCAGCUCAAAGUCACAAUGGCUUCCCUGGAGGGGACAAAUGAGACAUCCCCUGAUGUCCCUGAGGCCUUGGUGGCCCAGGUUGCCAUGGCAGAUCAGCUCUGGGAGGCCAACGCCUGCCUGGCCAAGGAUCACCUGCUAAGGGCACUUGAUGACAUCUUCAAGUUCUAUAUCAAUGGUGAUCCCACAAGCCCCAGUAUCUGUGGGGCAGCUGAGCAGUGCCAUAGAGCCAUCAAGGACAUCCCAAGGCACCUUUGACCCCUAGAGCGUUGCCAGAGCAUCUCCAAGUUGUCCCCAGUGAGCGUGGAGCUCCAAAAGGUGUCCCCUCCACAGCUGCAGGCGCUGGUGGCCGUGGUGACCGCCCUGGACGAGGUGGUGGCCACUGUGAAGGGGCCACACUGGGGCAAGUUCCCAGACUCCCUGUAUGAAGACCUGAAGAACUUCACCCAGAGCCUCUGUGCGAUCCUGAACAAAGGAGGAGUGCUGCCGCCUCUACCGGGGCUAUGGGUGUGGUGUCCCAGGUCGAGCAGGGCUCUGUGGCAGCACCCCUGCCACACAGACCAAGACAAAUGCUGACACCAAUGUGGUGGACGGUGAAAAGGUGUUUAUUAACUGCCAACAGGGGUAAUUUAUAACAGGGGGUAACAGCAGGGCAACGGUGAAGGGAGAGGGGUUAGGCGUAAUAUCACGAGAUGUCCUAGAUAAUGUGAUAUCUUGACCCCAAAUUUCCCCCGCCUCUUCAUGACCUAUUAAAAACGUAGAAAAUGCUAAGGUUAAAACUGCCUAGUGGGACAGUAACAAACUUGUAACUGUAACAAAACAAACAACUGUAGCAAACUUGUAACAAACUUAUGGCUGUGGAUAUUUAACAAAUGAAAAGUUAAACAAUGUAAUGCAUACAAAAAACUAACUAUCUCUAACUGGUUUUCUAUGAAAAAACAACACGGACUUAUUUAAAAUACAGGGCGAUCAGCCGUGGGGCUGAGUGAACCAUGACUUCGGGCAUUCUUGCAGGACUUUCUCAGCUUAUCUGUUGACAUCACAGCACCAAAUUGUCCUCCCAGAAUCUGCAAUCUGUUUGACUUUAAAACCAGGGUGUUUUGGAGAGUGCAUGUCCGGACCCAUUUUCUCCCCAAAACACCCUUUUAGACCCCUUGGUGCAGGAAAAGUUCUGGGUUGACUGGUAUUCCAUCCAAGUAGAGUCAGAACUUGGCCAGAGUUCCAACUCCACCUGACGGAUACCACUUAGAGCAAGUGCUGAGCUCUUUUUGUCUUUCCCCCAGUUCUUCUUUGCGCCGGCCUCUCACUGGGUUUUUUCACAACCCCGAUGUAGUCGGCCAUCAGGCUGCCUGAUGACUCGGCACUGCCUUCUGGGAGUGGGGUAUGCGGGCCAUGGGUGUGUCUGAGGGUCCAGUCCUGCAAAAGAAGCUUUUCAGAUUUCAUUAGUUCUUGCCCUGAAGGUCUGGUUUUAUUGAUUUGAGCGGGCACCAUUUAAUUUCGCUAUCUUUCUUUACGGCUGCAUACCCUUGCCCCGUGAAUAUCAGCCUCCAACCUGCUUCCCACUUUCCUAACUCAUUUUUGAUUAUUACUUGUGGGCCUGCCUCUAACGCCCGGAUGGCCGAGUGCCUCUGGGCAGGACUUUUGAUUUCCUCUCCCCUUGGGAACUGAGUUAAAGCUAGUAGGGUGGUUGCUAGAAUACGUGCUUGAUCUCUUGGUGGGAUGGAAUUGGUGGCACCUUCUGCCUUUGCGAGCACCUCCAGUUUAUAUUUUAGGGUUUGGAUGGCCCGUUCGACUAUGGCCUAUCCAGUGCUUUUAUAGGGGAUACCAUGGUCUAACGUUAUAUCCCAUUUUGACGCAAAUGCUUGUAUUGAUUUUGAGGUGAAACUCGGACCAUUAUCUGUUUUAAUUUGCCUCGGGAUGCCUAGCCAUGCCAUGGCUGUUAACCAGUGAUGGACCGUUGCUCUGGAAUCAGCUCUUUGGUGUUGCGUGGCCAUGAUUAUCCCACAAUAAGUGUCUACUGUUACCACGAAUCCCGCUUGGGGUCUCAGCAGCUGGCAUAAUGUAAAAUCUGUCUGCCAUAUAUCAGCGGCCUUGGUGCCCCUAGGAUUGACACCGUUGGACCAUAGUUGUGACCUCCGACAGUAGGGGCAUGAGGCGACGACGUGCCUUGCAUCAGGCACGGAGAUCCCGCAUUUUCUCGCGAGCGCUCUGGCUCCGACAUGCAGGGAUUCAUGCAGCCAGCGGGCUUCUCUCAGGGUCCACAGCCCUCUCGCAGCGGCAUCUGCUUUUUUGUUACCAACUUGAAAGAAUCCUUUGACCGGACUGUGGCUGUUGACAUGGAUGAUGGACACGGUGCCCUUUCACGAGUAAAGCGCUUCUUCCAGCAUUGCUGCCACUGUGGACAGUGCCACACCAGCUCGGGUCAUGGUUAGACAGAGUCGGGCCACGAAUAAUGAGUCUCUUACAAUAUUGAGGUGUUUGUCCGGGAACAGUCCACAUGCCAGUGCCACGGCGGCUGGCUCGAGUUGUUGUACUGACAGUGCAAGAUCUGUUGUUUUAAUGCAAAGCCACCACUCUCCUGUCUGCCCCACUACCGCUGCAGUGGAAGUUAAUGAAGAUGUGUCGGUGAAAA